CACACACACAAAGUAGGCAAAAACGAGAGAGGGCAGAGAGAGAGAAAAUGAGAAGAAAGAGGAAGGAAAAAGAAGAAGAAAGAAAAGAAGGGAAAAUUUGGGUUCAAGUUCUUCAAUUUAUUCAAGAGGUAAGGACAUAAUUUUUUUUAUGAAAGGAUGAUAUUAAAGUUGCUAGGGUUUUAAUUAGUUGGUUAAAUUUGUGGGUUUAAUUUGCAUAUUUAGUGAAAGGAGUAUAAUUUCUUGCUUAAAUUACAUGAUGGAUUAAUUUCCAAUUUAAUUACGGUAAGUAAUACCAUUUUUAGCAAACCCUAGAUUUUUAUUUGGGAUUCUUGAUUAUGUAUUGUUAGUGGGAAUGAUUAUAUUGAUGGAAAACUCACAUGAAAUCAUGAAUUUGAGAAACAAGAUGAAAACUAAAAUAGGUGGAAUUAUGGUUACUAGUAUUUAUUAUAUUGGAAGGUAUAAUAAUUUUUAUGAGUGGGAUGAAGGUAAGUUUGGAUGUAGUAUAUAUUUGUGAAAGUAUUUGAAAGUAGAAUUAGCUCCACUUGAUUAAAGGAAAUUUUGGAAAAAUUAUUCAAGUAUCGAGAAAUCAAGUUUUAGUAUUCGGUUAUUAAAUAUUAAGAGCUACAUAGUAUGAUAGUUGUUAAAUUGAUUAUUUUGUAUCACAUUUCAGGUGGCGACUAAGGUAUUGGAAAAGCUUAUCGGCAUUCAUAGCCUAUAGCUUGUCUUGGUGAAUGGAUAAAGUUUAUGUUUUCAGAAAUAAGUAUUCAUUAAAUUUAAGUUACUUAUUUUAUAAAGUUAUGUUGACAACAUGAUUUUCAUAAUAAAAUGGAUUUAUAAUCAAUUGCUUUUAAAAUUAAAAUCAGUUCAAUUACAUAAUUUCAAUAGCAUAUUCUAUUCGUAUUACAUGUUUCAGUAUAACUAAAGUUAUUUUCUAAAAAUCGCCAAAAGGUACCCAGGUGACUUUACCCUAGUCUGCACUGGUGUAAAUGUGUUCCCACAGUGUAUGACCAAUUAUGGUGAUUUUACCCACUCUCUAUUGUGAAUGUGUUUCCAUGGUGUAUGACCAGAUUAUCAAAGGUCUUUGGAACCCACUCUCGUACACACAUAGGCUUUGGACCGUGUACUAGGGUGAUUAGCUUUUGGAGCAGCUCUACGUACAUAUGACCAGAUUAUUAGAUGUGAAUGACUUUGCCUUGUUCAUCGAGAUUACUCUGUACAUGAGUAAGGCUAUUCACUGAGUACCUUUUUGGUUUGAUUUUCAGUAAUAUACAACUUAUCAGAUUUCAGACUACAGAAAUUAGCUUAUUCAGUUUGUAGAGUAAUGAUUUCAGCUUAUAAUACUGUAUAAGGAUAUUUUCACUUAUAUUUACUGAUAUCAGAUUAUUUAUAUUCAUUAUAAUUUACAGUUUCUUAUCUAGAAUGAAAAACAAAGAAUUUUACGAUGCAUUCAUGUUUGGUUUUAAAAGUGUUACCAAAUUUCAGAAUUUUUCAAAAUUUAAUAGAGUAAGAAUUUUCAGAAAAUAUGCAUAAAAGAAAAAGUAUAUUUAUUUGCAAAUUAUCCACUCACUGAGCUAUAAGUUUAUAUAUCUUUUCACAUUUUUAUUUAACAGAUAGCAGCCGAGUUGAGUAGAUUUGGAGCCUGUCGAUCCACCAAAUUGAGCCACGCGCCAUAAGUUGUAUGGCCUACGUUAUUAGAUUACACAGUACAUGUUUCUUGUGGGUUACAUGUAGUUUAGGUCAGAAAAGGUCAUCAUAGGCUGACUACAUAUUUGAUAUCUUUAGUACAUUUGAGGAGUUUUGGUUGUAGAGCAAAGUAAAUAUCGAUUUGUCAGUAUUUUAUUUUUGAAUAGUUAGUAUUUUGAGAUACUGGAGUAUCAUAUUUUACAUUAUAUGAACGGACUUGAGAAAAUUGGGUGUUGAUUAGGUGGUUUUAAUCCAUAUUUUAGAGGUGACCCUAUCAAAAUUCUUUUAAAAUAUUUCACAGUCAAAGCAAGUCAACGUUGCAUUGGUAGUGGGUCCGGCAUUUAGCUGGAAUCUACCAUUGGCACACAACACGUGUCGAAUCAAAGGUGAUUCGGGAUGGGUUGUGUCAGAAGUAGCUAAUAUGCUGUUUAUUUGUUUCAUCUUUGGCCGAUGUGUAAAUAAAGAUGUGAGGCUUCUCAAUGAUAUUAGAUAUAUCCUUUAUGCAUACGGACAUUUCAUAAAAAAUUUUUGCGCUUAGAGUUUCCUUGUACCUUCACAUGUCCUCUGUUUUAUGGAAGAUUGGCCAGAAAAUGCAUUCUCCAUGCACACCUUUCAGAAGUUAAGAGCACACGGAGUUGUAAGUGGAAGAACCAAUACUUCCCAGCAGAUGAGGAAGCUAAAUUCUUUUAAAAGCCUUUCUUUCAUAGACUCACUUCAUUUAUGGCGUCUUGCUCUCUUCUUCUCUUACACAUCGUGGUAAAAGUCUAUUUCUUUUCCACUUUUAGUAGAGACUUUUUUCAAAUCCAAAGAAAUUCCGGGGCAUAACUCUUUUAUCUUUCACUAAUAUUAGUAUAUUUCCUCAACAACGCACAGCUCUCUUGUGCAAUCACCGUGGUUUCUCUUAACUUAAUUUCUCAAUCUCCAUUCAUUAGUAAGGUUGCAGAAAUCACCCAAUGGCUCACAUCAACAACCUCCUAUGAGACGUCAAUGGAGUUUGCAUGUUGUGCUAAAAUAAAUCAAUAGAUGGUGAGACUCUCAUGUGCAAGACGUGUGUCAUUCCCCUAGCUUUGAUACCAUAUUAAGAAUAAGUUCAGCAUUUUUAUAAGCAAUUGCUCAAGUCCUGUAUGUUAUUUAUUUGUCUUUAAUUGAUGCACAAUUAAAUACCUGAGGUUUUUGAAGGACAUGAGACAUUAUUUGUGCACGAUGGGAAUUUCAUAAUAUUCUUUUGUGCUGAAUUGUCCUAGUAUCUCCACAAGUUUGUUUAAAGAGAUUGUCCAGCAAAGGACUAUCUAUGCUCAUCUUGCAGAAAUUAUGAGCCAUGGAUUUGUAAAUAGAAGAACCAUCACUUAGUUCUUUCAAAAGCAUUCCUUUCACGGGCUCGUUUUGUUUUUGGUGUCUUGCUCUCUUUGUGCUCUUACCUUCAUCUUCAUAAAAUAUCUGGUACUGGUGGAGGCUUUUCUCCAAUUCCAAUGACUCCUUUCAAUAAAAUUCGUAGCAUGCUUUAUUCCUCAUCAAUAGGCAGUUCUCUUGGGCAAUCACAAUGAUUUAAUUUUACUUUUUUUCUCAGUUAGUUGGGGUGCAGCAAUCACCCAAUGGCCCAUGUAAGCAAUCUCCCUUGCAAUACCGGUGAAAUCCACAUGGUGUUCAAGGACAAGUCAAUAGAAUGGCGAGAAGCAUGGUGUUCGAGAACAAGUCAAUAGAAUGACAAGACAUGUGCAAAUCGUAUGUCACUCAAUGGGUAUUGAAACCAUAUUAAGAAUUUGGAUUUCAUAUUAAAACAUCGACCUUUUCAAGAGAGGUAGUCCAAGCAUUUAUAUGUUGUUUGUUUCAUCUUUUAUCGAUGUGUCCUAUUAUCACAUAACAAUAUUAAGUCAUUGCACCUCAAGACGGAUUGAUAUAUUUUCUCCUUUGGAGCACUAACAGUCCUAAUGAGGUUGCUUAUCAUGCCACACAAUAACCCUCCUUAGGCACUCUAGAACACUUCCAACAUGCUACUCGAUCGGCAUCUCUAAUUUUUUUUAUGUAUUUAUAAAUUUAUUAAUUCAAGGACACUUAAUAGGUAGACGUCGUGCACAUAUUCAACAAGCUUCAUGGUGUGCCAUAAAUUGUUCAUAUUUUAGAUAGUGAUACGACACGAACCAUCUUGAUACAUCAAUAUUAUGCACCGGUCCAUUUUGUAAGUAUGCAAUUGAAAAUUAUCUAAAUAAUAUAUAAUUUUACCAAAAAUUAUCUUAAUGAAACAAAUAAUUUCCUGAGCUAAAGUCGAAGCAAAAAAAGAAGUUUACUCUUUUAACUGAAAGAAACAUACCAAAACAAAUGAAGUUAAAGAAAUUGUAUCGAGGUGUCCCAACAUGUCGAUGUCCUGCUUUUAUAAAUAUCAAGUGUCGACAUGUCCGUUUUGUGUCAUUUGUCCAUGUACAUGUCCUACUUCAUCAGUGUCAUUUCUUAAUAACGUUCAAAGAGCUCCAGUUACACCACCUUUUACCAACACCGGAGAGGAAAUGUAUAUCUAGAACUUCUCAAAUAUCUUCUUAUGUUGCAGAGAGAAUUCCCAUAUUAAGAAAAUUCAAUUCUUACAACCCAAUCUACCAUUAAGUGAUAAUUUCUUGCUUAUUGUCUUUCUUUAUUGUAAUUUUUGUCAUUCUAAAUUUCUGGUUUGUUGGCUCUUAUCUGAAUAUACAGGUAUCUAUGAAUUUUAGAACAAGUUCUACAGUGAAUUUCUUUUUUUCUUUCAGCAUUUUUUGUGAAUUUAGUUCACU
rnacentral:lncRNA from 1 species